rnacentral:lncRNA from 1 species
GCUGUGGGAAAGCUGGCAUUGCCCCACUGGGGAUGUUCUUGCUUUUCCAGCAGCGACAAUGAGCUCAGACGUCCCGGAGGACGUCAGCGACAUCCAUUGCCUCCUGACUUGGAUCAACAACGAAGCGAUGAGUCUUCGCGAGGUCCCCCAGCCCAGCAACGACCUGCUGUGGAGGCAGCCCGAGCCGGCCGAGUGCCCAGCGCCCGCCCGCACCACCACAGGGCACGAGCAGCGCACUGGCAGCAUCCAGGCCCCAAAGAGGAAGCUGCCGCAGGGCCGGGAUGCUCCAGAAGCGAAACGCCGGCGCUAGGCG